rnacentral:rRNA from 1 species
AAAAUUUAAAUUAAUUUACUAAAAAAUUAAUAGUUAUGUUCUUUAAAUUUAAAAAAUUUGGCGGUAUUUUAGUCUUAUUAGAGGAAUCUGUUUAUUAAUUGAUAAUCCACGAUUAAUUUUACUUAUUUUAAUUAAUUCAUAUAUCGCUGUCAUGAAUAUAUUUAAAAAUUUAUUUUCUUUAAUUAUUUUAAUAAUUUAUGUUAAGUCAAGAUGUGGUUUAUAAAUAAGAAUAUAAUGGGUUACAUUAAAUUUUAUUUUUGGAUUUAAAAUGAAAAUUAAAAUGAAAUUGGAUUUAAUAGUAAGUUUAAUUAAUUUAUUAAUAUGAAUAAAGAUCUAAAUU